CUCAGUAAGCAGUAAAUUUUCGUUUGACGAAUUUUUUCGUUUCACUCAGUAAGCAAGUAAAUUUUCUUUUAACCAAAGAAAAAUGUUUUCAACGGUAAGGAUUUCUUUUUUUUAAUAAAAACUUAAAACUCGGAAGACAUAUUGGUUUGAGCAGAACUCAAAAUCGAAAAAUCGAAUUAGGUUUGGCCGGUCGUGUUUAAAAUCUAAACCAGUGAGCUUAGCUAUAUAGGAGGAUUCAGAAUGAAGAAUGGUAAGUAACCACCCCUAUUCCUCUCCAAAUCCAGUUGUUACUUUCGGCGUGACCUUCAGCGAAAAUCACCAGUCAGAUGGUGAGUAAAGCCAGCAACCGGAGUUGCUUCCGGAAGUCUAUUUAGCGACCCAUGAAGAAUGCCCUUAGGCCAGAAUGGCAAACUUGUCAACAAAAUUUAUGACCGGAUAAUUCAAUUAUAGUGACACAGUGUUUGUGUUAGUCUUUGUGAAUAAAUGAUUCAAUGAAUAAA